CGGAUGUACACUCAGCACCACUUCCGCUGUCUAGAGGGCGCUGGACCAGUGCGCCUAGCCCCGCUCCCAGGCUUGCUUUCCUGGGGACACCGGGAGAGACCCAGGCCCCAACGUUGGAGCACCUCCAUCCUUCCAGGUAAAAGGUCUGCUGGCCUGCCCUCAGGGUCCUAGAAACAUCUUACAUCACCUGCCACAGCAGCUGCUGCCAGGUAUGCUCGGUGUCUGUGGGGUAAAAGUACCGCCUGCCAAGUGCCCAGCCCCAACCCCUGUGUAGACCGGGUCUCUCUCUCUCCUUCCCACCCCUCCCUUUCCCUUUCCCCUUCUCUCUGUUUUUCUCCCUUCUCUGCCUUCAUGGUUCACUCACUGUCUCUACCCCUUCCUUCUCCAGGCCUUCACUCCUUCCUUCUCCCAAUAAAAGUUCUUAUUCUAGA